rnacentral:rRNA from 1 species
GGCCCUGUGCACCUGACCCACUUCCUUGUGAAGUGCGUGUUAGUGCUGCACGGGUCAUCCUUCUGGAGAGCACUUCUGCCCUUGAUUGGGUUGGUUGUGUGAUUCGGAUCAUUUACUGUGAGUAAAUCAAAGUGUUUAAAGCAGGCUUUAUAGCUUGUAUGGUUCAGCAUGGAAUAAUAAGAUAGGACUUCGGUUCUAACUUGUUGGCUAUAAGAACCAAAGUA